rnacentral:rRNA from 1 species
UGAGGAACAUGACCUUCGGCGGGGGAUAGCCGGCCCAACGGCCGGGUAAUACCGCGUACGACCACAUGGGGACAUCCCUGAGUGGUGAAAGCAGCAAUGCGCCGAUGGAGUGCCUCGCGGCCUAUCAGCUAGUUGGUGAGGUAACGGCUCACCAAGGCGACGACGGGUAGCCGGCCUGAGGAGGGUGACCGGCCACACUGGGACUGAGACACGGCCCAGACCUCCUACGGGGAGGNAGCG